UGAACUGAGGGUAGCGGAGAAAUUCCAAUCGAACCUGGAGAUAGCUGGUUCUCUCCGAAAUAGCUUUAGGGCUAGCCUCAAGUGAUGAUUAUUGGAGGUAGAGCACUGUUUGGACGAGGGGCCCCUCUCGGGUUACCGAAUUCAGACAAACUCCGAAUGCCAAUUAAUUUAACUUGGGAGUCAGAACAUGGGUGAUAAGGUCCGUGUUCGAAAGGGAAACAGCCCAGACCACCAGCUAAGGUCCCAAAAUAUAUGUUAAGUGGAAAAGGAUGUGGCGUUGCCCAGACAACUAGGAUGUUGGCUUAGAAGCAGCCAUCAUUUAAAGAGUGCGUAAUAGCUCACUAGUCGAGUGACACUGCGCCGAAAAUGUACCGGGGCUAAACAUAUUACCGAAGCUGUGGAUUGUCCUUUGGACAAUGGUAGGAGAGCGUUCUAAGGGCGUUGAAGCAUGAUCGUAAGGACAUGUGGAGCGCUUAGAAGUGAGAAUGCCGGUGUGAGUAGCGAAAGACGGGUGAGAAUCCCGUCCACCGAUUGACUAAGGUUUCCAGAGGAAGGCUCGUCCGCUCUGGGUUAGUCGGGUCCUAAGCUGAGGCCGACAGGCGUAGGCGAUGGAUAACAGGUUGAUAUUCCUGUACCACCUAUAAUCGUUUUAAUCGAUGGGGGGACGCAGUAGGAUAGGCGAAGCGUGCGAUUGGAUUGCACGUCUAAGCAGUAAGGCUGAGUAUUAGGCAAAUCCGGUACUCGUUAAGGCUGAGC
rnacentral:rRNA from 1 species